GACGAACGCUGGCGGCGUGCUUAACACAUGCAAGUCGAACGGAAAGGCCCUGCUUUUGUGGGGUGCUCGAGUGGCGAACGGGUGAGUAACACGUGAGUAACCUGCCCUUGACUUUGGGAUAACUUCAGGAAACUGGGGCUACUACCGGAUAGGAGCUCCUGCUGCAUGGUGGGGGUUGGAAAGUUUCGGCGGUUGGGGAUGGACGCGCGGCUUAUCAGCUUGUUGGUGGGGUAGUGGCUUACCAAGGCUUUGACGGGUAGCCGGCCUGAGAGGGUGACCGGCCACAUUGGGACUGAGAUACGGCCCAGACUCCUACGGGAGGCAGCAGUGGGGAAUAUUGCACAAUGGGCGGAAGCCUGAUGCAGCAACGCCGCGUGCGGGAUGACGGCCUUCGGGUUGUAAACCGCUUUCGCCUGUGACGAAGCGUGAGUGACGGUAAUGGGUAAAGAAGCACCGGCUAACUACGUG
rnacentral:rRNA from 1 species